GCGAACGCUGGCGGCAGGCCUAACACAUGCAAGUCGAACGGACUCUUCGGAGUUAGUGGCGGACGGGUGAGUAACACGUGGGAACGUGCCUUUAGGUUCGGAAUAAGCCCGGGAAACUGGGUCUAAUACCGAAUGUGCCCUUCGGGGGAAAGAUUUAUCGCCUUUAGAGCGGCCCGCGUCUGAUUAGCUAGUUGGUGGUGUAAUGGACCACCAAGGCGACGAUCAGUAGCUGGUCUGAGAGGAUGACCAGCCACAUUGGGACUGAGACACGGCCCAAACUCCUACGGGAGGCAGCAGUGGGGAAUCUUGCGCAAUGGGCGAAAGCCUGACGCAGCCAUGCCGCGUGUAUGAUGAAGGUCUUAGGAUUGUAAAAUACUUUCACCGGUGAAGAUAAUGACUGUAGCCGGAGAAGAAGCCCCGGCUAACUUCGU
rnacentral:rRNA from 1 species